GCGACGGGGGACAUAUCCAACCAAGGAGCGUGGACUAUGGAAACGAGCCGUGCUAUGCACCUCCUCACCAGUGCUUGGAGGGGGUCGCGGCCGCCCGGCGCCACACCUUGGAGGGCUUGGGCUUGUGGUCCUCGUCAUCGCUGGCGCGCCGCUUCUUCGCGUCCGCGAUGGCGCGCUUGAUGUCGUACUGCUUGAGCGGCUUGCGGGCGACGACGCCCUCCGGGUUCGGGACGGGGUUGGCCGCGACGAAGAGCGCGAGCGCCAUCAGGGUGGCGAAGAGGACGUAGAACCGGGAGUACAUGG
rnacentral:misc_RNA from 1 species